rnacentral:tRNA from 1 species
CGUUGCUUAGCCGAAGGGUCCGGUCGGCGGGGCAUUGGAAUUGCUGCGACCCUCCGGGGUCGAGGGGAGGAAUUGUGGUUGCGGUCCGGAGGUGGCGC